AUGCCCAACUGGGAGGAGUGGUCUUUUUUUGAGGAAGAAGUUGUUGCUGAUGUAAGCGGAGUGGAUGGAGCUGCUGAGAUCCGAAAAGAGGAUGCCCAACCUGCAAGGGUGCGACUGCUGCCUCGUUUGUUGGAAUUGCAACUUCAUGGUUGCCCGAAGCUGAGGGAUCUCCCGCAACAGCUUGGAAAGGGCACCACCUGUUUGAAGGAGCUCACCUUAAUAGGACUAAACAGCUUGAAGGCCGUGGAGGACCGCCCAGUGCUCUCUGAGGUCCUUGUUAUUGAGGAUUGUGAAGGCCUAGAGAAGGUCUCCAACCUCCCUGAAGUGGCAGAGCUGCAUGUGGGUGGUUGUCCAAACUUAAGCCAUGUAGAGAGAUUGGACAGUUUGCAGCGGCUGGGGCUGGGCGAGGAUAUGCAAGAGAUCUCUUCACGUUGGGUGCCUGGGCUUCAAGAGCAGCACCAACGACUUCAUGGCGAAGAUCUGGAUAUCUACACGCUGUUUAGGUAG
rnacentral:rRNA from 1 species